rnacentral:rRNA from 1 species
GAUGAACGCUGGCGGCGUGCCUAAUACAUGCAAGUCGAGCGAACGGACGAGAAGCUUGCUUCUCUGAUGUUAGCGGCGGACGGGUGAGUAACACGUGGAUAACCUACCUAUAAGACUGGGAUAACUUCGGGAAACCGGAGCUAAUACCGGAUAAUAUUUUGAACCGCAUGGUUCAAAAGUAAAAGACGGUCUUGCUGUCACUUAUAGAUGGAUCCGCGCUGCAUUAGCUAGUUGGUAAGGUAACGGCUUACCAAGGCAACGAUGCAUAGCCGACCUGAGAGGGUGGUCGGCCACACUGGAACUGAGACACGGUCCAGACUCCUACGGGAGGCAGCAGUAGGGAAUCUUCCGCAAUGGGCGAAAGCCUGACGGAGCAACGCCGCGUGAGUGAUGAAGGUCUUCGGAUCGUAAAACUCUGUUAUUAGGGAAGAACAGAUGUGUAAGUAACUGUGCACAUCUUGACGGUACCUAAUCAGAAAGCCACGGCUAACUACGUG